UUGAAGUCGUAUUUGUACGGUGGAUGGUUCGUGUUCGUGAGAAAAAGAUUGGAAGCUAGAAAUCAAGUUGGUGAGAUUAAAUUCAAGAGUCAUAUUUUGGGUUUGUUGACGUCCUGAGUCCGAUUCUGAAGUCCGUAUUGCCAAAUUAGAAUCUGGAAUUAUUGGAAGUUGAAUUAAAGAUCGAGGGUGUUCGUACGAAAUUUAUAUGAUCGAUCAGUAUGUCACAAAAAUCAAGACGGAGAAAUGUUUUAUCUGGGGGCUUAUUGUUAGAGGA